rnacentral:rRNA from 1 species
UAGGGAAUCUUCGGCAAUGGACGAAAGUCUGACCGAGCAACGCCGCGUGAGUGAAGAAGGUCCUCGGAUCGUAAAACUCUGUUGUUAGAGAAGAACAAGGACGUUAGUAACUGAACGUCCCCUGACGGUAUCUAACCAGAAAGCCACGGCUAACUACGUGCCAGCAGCCGCGGUAAUACGUAGGUGGCAAGCGUUGUCCGGUUUUAUUGGGCGUAAAGCGAGCGCAGGCGGUUUCUUAAGUCUGAUGUGAAAGCCCCCGGCUCAACCGGGGAGGGUCAUUGGAAGCUGGUAGACUUGAGUGCAGAAGAGGAGAGUGGAAUUCCAUGUGUAGCGGUGAAAUUCGUAGAUAUAUGGAGGAACACCAGUUGCGAAGGCGGCUCUCUGGUCUGUAACUGACGCUGAGGCUCGAAAGCGUGGGGAGCAAACAGG